GAUUGAAGGUUGAAGGAUCCAUAGGAGAAUAUUCUCCCGCGAGAUUAUUUGCACAAACAAGUUAUACAAUACAUUUUCUCAGCUGCCAAACAGAAACAGACCAAUUGUUCGUUUAUCUCUCCACAGUCCACUCCACUCCACAUUUUAUUGAAACUGCUUGCAGGAAUCGCACUCUGAGUUCCUUCCCUUUGUAAUUGAGGACCGUUCACAAAGGGCUUAUGGAGUGCACAUAAAUGGCUAUGUUGAGAAGGAUGGGAAGAAGUUUCUAUGGACAGCGAAGAGAAGUCAACAGAAACCCACUUAUAUUUAUACAUCCAGGGAUGCUUGAUCAUCUAGUUGCUGGUGGACUGGUUUGUAACGAGCUUUCAUCUUGCUUUAAGGCAUUUUAGUUUCUAUUCUAUCAGUAUUUAGGUUGUCAGUGCUCAGUGGGAGCUUGCUUGAAUAGUUUGCUUUUGGUAUCUAGAGCCUCCAGACCUUGAUGAAAUAACAUGGGCAUUCCUCGACCCCGAAAGAGAUGGAUUUACAUGACAUGUUCCUAAAUUAGACGGCUCUGGUGCACUUUAAUGUCAAUGUAAUUGGUGAAACUACUUGACCCAAGAACUGGCGGGAUUUUAGGAUGUAAUCUGAGGCAACUGGAAGAGCAAGGGGUCCUUCCUGGCCUGAUAUUUAGUGGUCUACUUUAAGCAUAACAAAUGAAAUUAGCAGGGAUGUUCUGUGCACCUCACAUGGAGGGUCAAUUUGGUCCAAUCUUGCCAUCUAUAGGGGUCUGCCAAGAAUUCUUUUGGGGUUUGUUUUGGGCUUAGCGUUCUUCAAAAAUUAUGAUAUAUGGGUUUGGAUUUUGUUCAAUUGUUCAUAGAGGGUUCAAAUUGAGGGCAAGCAGAUAGUUCAUAUCACGUUCAGAUGAUGAAGGUAAGAAAUUUAUGACACGAAAAUGAUAGAUUUCUUACCUCAAUGACAGGCCCGACAACCACCUCAAUCAUAGAUUUAUUUAAAUUAGAAGCCUCUCAAUAUUUUCUUAUUCAACAAUAUAUUGUCUGCUAUUACAAAUACCAGUUGAGAGUCUUUUAUUCAUUAUGCUUAUACAAAUACUAGUUGGCAGCAUAAACUUCUCUGCAGUUUUCUGAGCCUGAAUCCGCACAACCAU